GACGAACGCUGGCGGCGUGCUUAACACAUGCAAGUCGAACGGAAAGGCCCUGCUUUUGUUGGGUGCUCGAUUGGCGAACGGGUGAGUAACACGUGAGUAACCUGCCCUUGACUUUCUGAUAACUUCAGGAGACUGGGGCUCAUACCCGAUAGAAUCUCCUGCUGCAUGGGGUGCGUUGGAAAGUUUCGGCGGUUGGGGAUGGACUGGCGGGUUAUCAGCUUGUUUGUGGGGUAGUUGCUUACCAAGGGUAUGACGGGUAGCCGGCCUGGGAGGGGGACCAGCGACAUGGGGCCUGAGAGACGGCCCAGACUGCAAUGGGAGGCAGCGGUGGGGAGUAUUGCACAACGGGCGGAAGCCAGAUGCAGAAACGCCGCGAGCGGGAUGACGGCCUUCGGGUUGUAAACAGCUGUCGCAUGUGACGAAGAGUGAGUGACGGUAAUGGGUAAAGAAGCACCGGCUAACUACGUG
rnacentral:rRNA from 1 species